AUGUGGAUGCUUUAUGGUCCUCAAGAAAUACAUACGUCAUUAUUAGCAGGUUAUGAUUUGGAUUAUACGUUACACCUGGUCUCAAAGUCAUUAUUAGCAGGUUAUGAUUUGGAUUAUACGUUACACCUGGUCUCAAAGUCAUUAUUAGCAGGUUAUGACUUGGAUUAUACGUUACACCUGGUCUCAAAGUCAUUAUUCGCAGGUUAUGACUUGGAUUAUACGUUACACCUGGUCUCAAAGUCAUUAUUACCAGGUUAUGAUUUGGAUUAUACGUUACACCUGAUCUCAAAGUCAUUAUUACCAGGUUAUGAUUUGGAUUAUACGUUACACCUGAUCUCAAAGUCAUUAUUAGCAGGUUAUGAUUUGGAUUAUACGUUACACCUGGUCUCAAAGUCAUUAUUAGCAGGUUAUGACUUGGAUUAUACGUUACACCUGGUCUCAAAGUCAUUAUUAGCAGGUUAUGACUUGGAUUAUACGUUACACCUGGUCUCAAAGUCAUUAUUAGCAGGUUAUGACUUGGAUUAUACGUUACACCUGGUCUCAAAGUCAUUAUUAGCAGGUUAUGACUUGGAUUAUACGUUAUACCUGGUCUCAAAGUCAUUAUUAGCAGGUUAUGACUUGGAUUAUACGUUACACCUGGUCUCAAAGUCAUUAUUAGCAGGUUAUGACUUGGAUUAUACGUUAUACCUGGUCUCAAAGUCAUUAUUAGCAGGUUAUGACUUGGAUUAUACGUUACACCUGGUCUCAAAGUCAUUAUUAGCAAGUUAUGACUUGGAUUAUACGUUACACCUGGUCUCAAAGUCAUUAUUAGCAGGUUAUGACUGGAUUAUACGUUACACCUGGUCUCAAAGUCAUUAUUACCAGGUUAUGACUUGGAUUAUACGUUACACCUGGUCUCAAAGUCAUUAUUAGCAGGUUAUGACUUGGAUUAUACGUUACACCUGGUCUCAAAGUCAUUAUUAGCAGGUUAUGACUUGGAUUAUACGUUACACCUGAUCUCAAAGUCAUUAUUAGCAUGUUAUGACUUGGAUUAUACGUUACACCUGAUCUCAAAGUCAUUAUUAGCAGGUUAUGACUUGGAUUAUACGUUACACCUGAUCUCAAAGUCAUUAUUAGCAGGUUAUGACUUGGAUUAAACGUU